rnacentral:piRNA from 1 species
UGUGCACUUCUAAGGAAGAAAUCAUUUUCUU